UGUGGGAUUUUAUCAGAUGGCUAAGAUUGCUGUCACGCCAUCUAUUGUCCUUGCAGAGUUUAUAUGGUACAAGAAGAAAGUCACUUUCUCCAAGGUCUUGGUUAACAUUAUUGAAUGUUUUUUUAUAUAUGCAAAUGGUCUGCAAAUGAUUUUGUCAAGGCUGUAGGACAGGAUUAUGAGAAGGAAAACUUAACGAAAGGAAUUGAAGUUUCUUAGUGCUACCUUUAUAGAAAUAAGAGCUCAACAGAGUUUCUUGGAAUUGAAGUUGCAGUUUCAAACUGUAUUAGCUUUUAUGUAUUACAACAUCAAUAUCAAUGUCCAUCAUCUUAGGUACUUCUUUAUUUGUUUACUUUUGUACAUUGAUGUUGGUGGUAUAUAUACAUUUAAGCUAAAUGUUAGUGUAUUUUGAUUGUUGGAUCGAUUUUUGUAUUGAAUAUUCAAUCUUUAUUUUAAUUUUAAUUUUAAUUUUGUAUUUUAAA